rnacentral:rRNA from 1 species
CACCGCGGUUAUACGAGAGGCCCUAAUUGAUAAAUGCCGGCGUAAAGGGUGGUUAAGGAAAGCAAAAAUAAAGCCAAAGGGCCUCUUGGCCGUCAUACGCUUACUGAGUGUCCGAAGCCCAAAAACGAAAGUAGCUUUAACAUAGCUCACCUGACCCCACGAAAGCUGAGAAA